CAGCCGCCGCGGUAAUACGAAGGGUGCAAGCGUUAAUCGGAAUUACUGGGCGUAAAGCGUGCGUAGGCGGUGAGUUAAGUCUGCUGUGAAAUCCCCGGGCUCAACCUGGGAAUUGCAGUGGAUACUGGGUCACUAGAGUGUGGUAGAGGAUAGUGGAAUUUCCGGUGUAGCAGUGAAAUGCGUAGAGAUCGGAAGGAACAUCUGUGGCGAAGGCGACUAUCCGGGCCAACACUGACACUGAGGCACGAAAGCGUGGGGAGCAAACAGGAUUAGAGACCCGCGUAGUCCCUGUCUCUUAUAC
rnacentral:rRNA from 1 species